UUUAGGCAAUGAUAUAUUGGGAGGAUAAACCGGUGAGUUUUUCUUUCUCAUUCUCUACUUCUAUCAUGUGAAGAGAAGGAGAAGGAGAAAAAGGGAAGACGUUGAAGAGAAAAAAGCUCAUGAAAUGAAGAGGAGAAGAAUAAAGGAUGGAGAAGAAUGAGGUUCUACAACAACUCAAGCUUGAAUCUAAAGAGGGAAAAGGAGAUUUGAGGGAAAAUAGAGCUUAUUUCUGAAAAAUGUCUAAGAGAUUGGGAGGUCUUUUUUAGAUUAAGCAUCUAAAUACUUGAGUACAAGAUUUCAGAAUUUCAGAUGUAGAUCAAUGCUAUAAGACCGGAAAGAAACCAGCCGUAUGGAUUUCUCAAUAGAAAUGUACAAUUUUAAGGGAUUUGAAUUAUAAGUAUUGCCACCAAGGGAAGAUCCUGACAAUUUGAUGUAAUAGAACUUUGUAAUAUUAAUAAACAUUUAAUCCUUAUGGAGGA